rnacentral:rRNA from 1 species
GGAUGCGACCAUACCAGCACUAAAGCAUCGGAUCCCAUCAGAACUCCGAAGUUAAGCGUGCUUGGGCGAGAGUAGUACUAGGAUGGGUGACCUCCUGGGAAGUCCUCGUGUUGCAUUCC